UGCAGUGCCUGGCAGCAGCAGGUGUUGAAGUGCGUGAGUAGAGCAUAGUUACAGUUUGAGGAAAAAAAUAUAUCCUCCUCUGUCUAUCCCUUAGAAAAGCAGAUUGCCGUGGUUACUGUAGUAACCGUGAUCUCAUUGUCCAGCAGACAGGAGUCCUGCACGGUCAGAGCCGCGGUUGCAAAGUGUUGCAUGUGGAUGUCUGCAGCAAACAGGGCUUGGUUUGAGCUUGUGUGUCCUCCUUUCGCAUCCCACUCCUGGUGGUACCUCGGCCCAUCACCCUGAGAAGCAGGUUGGAUGCAGAUGCUGCCUCAUUGCGCCCUGCAGCAGGAUGGAGAUGAGAUGAUUUGGCUGCUUUGUGGUGCUUUUAUAUCUCAUCCUUUGGUCCAUUUGCCACCCCUCUGUGAGUAGGAAAAAUCAGAGAACCCAGCAGGACCUGAAACACUGCUGCAGAAGGAGGAAGACAGAACUUUGAUAAGAAAACCAUGUUGGCAUUAAUCUUUCACACUGAAGCCCAGAGAGGCGCUUGCUCCCUGCCCUGCAUCUGCCCUGUACAAGCCACAUCAUGGCCACGUUGUCAGCCUGGCGCAGAGGGUCAGAUGAUGCAAGACCAACACUGAGCUUCCAGCCCAUCAGCCUCUCCGGAGCCAGAGUGAUGUGGUCUGUCUGCGUUACCUCCUCCAGGCACUUGGUUUCUUGCAGGAAGAUCUGCUCUGGGACUUCAGUAGCACUGAAUACUGAGCAACUGAAAGAAAAGAGGGAGUUUGGACCAAUGUCUCUGCUGGCAUAACUCCACUAAAGCCAGAGGGUGAAAUCCCAGCCCUGCUGAGAUGCACAGGAUUUUUGCCAGACUUAUGACUGCUGAGAACUCUUUUAACAACUCAACCCUGAUUUUGCUUUGGACUAAAACCUCCCCAGGAGUCUUAGCCUACAAACACAUCUCUUGCACACAGAAGAAAAAUGUUCAAUAGCAAGCAAAUGAGCUUGGAAACAGAUUUAACUUCAUCAGUGGAACCCGUGCUGCAGACAUUCAUCAUGGGCUAAAUUUGGUUGGUGUGGUAAGACGCUGACCAUGCAGCACCCGCAGCCAUGGAAAGGUUCCCGCCUUGGCUGCAGUCACACAAUUUAUUCGACAUGCUCCCUGUUGCUCCUGGGAACUGCAUGAGCAGAGUUUUGGUGUGACACACUCAUGUAGUCAGUGCUCCUCAACAUCAUUUUUUAAGACCAGGUUAUUGCAGGAACCCCAGAUACUGACAAUGCAUCUCUGGCUUCUCUCUUUCCACAGCAUCUUGCUGUCAUGGCUUCCAGACUUCUUUUUAGGACUAUCUGUUGUUACAGGGUAGUUAAGAAUCUUCUGGAAGCUCUUGUGGCUGAAGAUACACCCGCAUCAAAGCUCUCUUGCUCCUUCUGUUUCCAGAACAGUGACUACGCCCCAGCAAGGUCAGAAAGCUGGUGCUUUUGUCACCUAUGGCUGCGACUUCAUGGCCUUAUGGUUCUGAGGUUAAAAAAGAAACAGGAAGGAAGAUGCUAGAAAAACAACUUGAAUUAAUAAUAAUUCUAGUUUAUUUAUAAAGAAGCGAGGGAGAAAAAAAAUAAUUUGUUUUGCAGGUCACCUUCACAGCAAAUAGGAGUCAUUCAAUUGCUGCUGGAUAAUACAAAGGGCUGGCAAUUGGAAUGAUGAUUAAAAAAAUAUGAGCAAGAUUUUCAGCGUUUCUUUGUGAAAUAAACAGAGAAAAACUGUUCGUCAAUGCGGAACAGACACUGUAAACGCUGCCUUAAAAGGAAUCUGGAAGGAUGUGUAUGUCCCUGGUAAUAACAUGGAAGAUGACUGGCUCUGUCUUUCCAACACAGUCCCAGUCCCUUCUGGAUCCAGAGGGAGUUUGUGAGCUUGCUGUCCUGCUCCAUGCAUCAAGAUUUCACAGAAUCUGGAGCUCUGCAUCUCUUUUUGCAUUUGAGAAGACAUAUGAAAUACUUCACAGAAUCACCAAAUGUUGUUGGCUGGAGCCUCUUGCGAUCAUCUAGUCCAGCCUCCAUUGAGGAGGGCGAGCCAGAGCAGGUUGCCAAGGAUGGUGUCCAGUCUGGUUUUGGAUACCUCCAUGGAUGGAGACUCCAAAACUUCUCUGGGCAACCUGCUCCUGUUUUUGAGCACCCUCACAAUUAAAAAAAAAGUUUGUGUUCAGAUGUAAUCUGAUGUGUUUCAAUUUGCCUGCAUUAACAUUGCACAACGUUGGCUGGAGCACAGAUCCAGUGUGACAGAACACAUGGCCAAGUGUUUCACAACUGCUGUGACUGAUGGAUUGCUGCUCACAGAAAUAAAAGGCGAAAGCCCAGCUAGC